UUCUUCAUUGGGAGGGUUGCAACGCGCCCAACGCGCUCCCUAGCAUGCUAAACGCCUUUUAUAUUAUGUUUUAUUUAUUUAUUUUUAUCUGAACGUGCCUUGCGCGCUAUUAUGGGCACCUAGCGCCUGCAUGCACUAGUUGAAUUUUUUUAUGCGCCCAGCGUGCUUCAUGGUGCGCCAAGCGCCCUGAUCAUAGAUGCAUAGGCUCUAACACGCGCUUUGCGCGCUCGCACCUAUGCCUUAUGCGUGGCUUCUAGAAGGCGCAAUUUAUGUUAAGCGCCCGACGCACCUAAGCUUGCGCCCGACACGUGCAUGGCAGAGAGGAAUUCUGCCUCUGUGCGCCCAACGCACCUUGUGUUGUGCUCAACGUGAAUCCGUCCAUUUUGAACUGUCUUCUUAUAUGUUUUGGGGAUUCUUUUUGCAUAUUUUGUGCUCCAUUUUUGUGUUGUAUAUAUGAUGAUACUUCUACAUAUUUUUGAUGACUCACUUCUCUGAUUUUGAUGGCUUGGUUAUGUUUUUUGGCCUUGAAUUUCAGGAUGGCAACCAAGAGGCAAAGGAACCCCACUGAAGGCCAAAAUAACAAGCCUGUAAAGAGAAAGGAGAAGGUUUAUUCUGAUCGCUUUCUCAGAAAGCAUCAUGAAAAGUAAUUCCCUUCCAUGGAGCCAAGGAAAUUAUUGAUGGAGAGGAAGGUGUCCCUCAAAUCAGAGGAUGGCCAGGACUUUGUGAUUGAGUACACCAAGAGGAGGUGGGACAGGUUGGGUUCUUAUCCAUAACUAGCCAAUAUUGCUAUCAUUCGUGAGUUCUAUGCGAACGCCGUGACCAUUGAUGAUGAUGCCCCAAUCAGCUACACCAGCUAUGUGAGGGGUCAUUCUGUUUCCUUUUCUCCUACCAGGAUCAACGAUUUUCUUCUCACUACUUUAGAGCUUGGACAACACUGUCCUAUAUCCUGUUCAACAUCCUCUCAGGGAAGAGAAUAAAUUUGGGAGCUCUCAUCGUGGAGGAGAUUCAGAGUUGUGCUGAUUCUAUGAUUGGUAAUGCCAAGCUAGGGCACCCUUCGCUGAUCACCCAUCUAUGCAAGAGAGUUGGAGUUGACACAUCUAUGGGCCAUUUGAGUGACCGUGCUAGUCUAUAGAUGCCCGAUAUGUUAUCGCUCAUUGUUAGUUGACCCCUCUUGCCUAUGAAAGGGGAGCACCACAGGCACCAACUACUGCACCAUAGGUCGAGGCACCAGAGCUACCCCCUCUUGAGCAUUAUGUUCCUGAGGCCCCAUUACAACAAGUGGUAGCAAUUAGCCCUGUUGUUUUUGAUACAACCAUUCAGAUGAUUUUUCAUGCACAAUGAAUGAUGAUGGACACUAUUAGGGCCCAUGUUGCUGCCACUACUCCUCAUCUUCAGUUUCUCUAUUCUAUGGCAAAGUUUGAUGUUGCUACUACUUGACUUGGGGUCCAGGCUAUUUCUAGAGGGGCAGGAGGAGAGCUAACAACAACUGAUGGAGAUAAAGCAACUGAUAUAGGACCAGAUGCUAGUAUAAGACUAGAGGUGCAGCCUGAUGCGAAGGCUAAGAGAGAGGUUGCCAGAGACUAUUUCUGCUGAUAUUGUGGAUCCAAUGCUUCAAAGGUUUGAGGAGACCAUCAAAGUAGAGUCCUUAGAUAUGUUUAGGUCCUUAGGAGCAUCUGUUAGAGUUGAUGAAGAGAUACCCAUCGCUGUUGACAUUGCUACUGUUGAUGCUAUGAUUGAUGAUGAGGCCAUGGGAUCCUCUAAGUUGGAGUUCAACUGAUGAUAUCAGCACUUAAGGAGAUGAGUAGUCACAUUUUGCUGCAACACUUAUGUUUUUUUUUUGGAUAUCUUGUUUACUUUUCUGUUUUUACUUAUUUUUUUACUAUUACCAUUACACUUUACCUUCUUUUAUGCACCGUACUUUCUCCUAUAUUAUAGUUACUUUGGAUACAUCGACAAUUUACUUGAGAUUGGUGUUGCAUUUCAUCAUGAGUCUGUUGUGUUCUGUUCUUUCAAAACCUGACAUCUUUUGAGUUGAUGACAUAUCUCUAUUGAACUGAUAAUUGUGGUUGUGCUCAUGCUUUGGAGGGUAUGGUUGCAAGUGCUUGUUUUAAUUUUGAUUAAGGAUUGUGGAAAGGUAGGAUAACGUGUGAAUUACAUAAAUUAAAUUGAGUGAGGUUAAGAGCUUUAGAGUUUAUUCUUGUGAGAACUAUUCUUUUGAUACUCAAUUGACUUUGCUUGAGUUUCUGUGUUGAGAGCUUUGCUUGCAUGUGUAUAGAUGAUCAAGGCCAUGUUUCUUUUUAGUUCUAGGUCGUUUGAGCCAAAAAGCCAACUUUUUUUUUUUGAAAAUAUUAACCGUUGAAAACCUUUUUAAGCUUAACAUGAUUCUUUCUUUCUUAGAACCCUAAGCUUUAUGAUGAAAUCAAUUGAACACCCCACUUUGAGCUUGAGAGCAAGUGGUAAGGUCAUUAUUGUGUGGUUCAAGUUUGGGGCAAUUCACUUUUGGGGUGAGCAUAUAAUAAAAGGAGAAGGCUUUGAUUCAUUCUUUGGCCAUGAAAAAAAAAAUUGAAAAGUUAUUCAAAAAAAACUGAAUCAAAUGAAAAUAAAUAAAAGGAAAAAGGAAACAUUAGAGUCGUGUGUUACUGGAUCAAAACAUUAGUUGGAAA